GCGUAGCUUAAUAUAAAGCAUGGCACUGAAAAUGCUAAGAUGGGUCCUAAAAAACCCCACUCACA
rnacentral:tRNA from 1 species